CCUACGGGCGGCAUCAGUGAGGAAUUUUGCGCAAUGGGCGCAAUCCUGACGCAGCAACGCCGCGUGGGUGAUGAAGGCCUUCGGGUCGUAAAGCCCUGUCAGGUGGGAAGAAUGUCCCGGGACUGAACAGGUUUCGGGAGUGACGGUACCACCAGAGGAAGCACCGGCUAACUCCGUGCCAGCAGCCGCGGUAAUACGGAGGGUGCGAGCGUUAUUCGGAAUUACUGGGCGUAAAGCGCGUGUAGGCGGUCCUGCAAGUCUGAUGUGAAAGCCCCGGGCUUAACCCGGGAAGUGCAUUGGAAACUGUGGGACUUGAGUACUGGAGAGGAUGGGGGAAUUCCCGGUGUAGAGGUGAAAUUCGUAGAGAUCGGGAGGAAUAUCAGUGGCGAAGGCGCCCAUCUGGACGGUAACUGACGCUGAGACGCGAAAGCGUGGGGAGCAAACA
rnacentral:rRNA from 1 species